rnacentral:rRNA from 1 species
GAUGAACGCUGGCGGCGUGCCUAAUACAUGCAAGUCGAACGGGGUGUUUGAGCAAUCGAACACUUAGUGGCGAACGGGUGAGUAACGCGUUGGUGACCUGCCCCAAAGCGGGGGAUAACAGCCUGAAAGGGUUGCUAAUACCGCAUAAGGUCUGGAGAGACUAGAAGCUUCAGAUUAAAGGAGAAAUCCACUUUGGGAGGGGCCUGCGUCCCAUCAGCUAGUUGGUAGGGUAAAAGCCUACCAAGGCGAUGACGGGUAGGGGACCUGAGAGGGUGGACCCCCACAAUGGCACUGAAACACGGGCCAUACACCUACGGGUGGCUG